rnacentral:rRNA from 1 species
AGCGAACGCUGGCGGCAGGCCUAACACAUGCAAGUCGAACGAACUCUUCGGAGUUAGUGGCGGACGGGUGAGUAACACGUGGGAACGUGCCUUUUGGUUCGGAAUAACUCAGGUAAACUUGUGCUAAUACCGAAUGUGCCCUUCGGGGGAAAGAUUUAUCGCCAUUAGAGCGGCCCGCGUCUGAUUAGCUAGUUGGUGAGGUAACGGCUCACCAAGGCGACGAUCAGUAGCUGGUCUGAGAGGAUGACCAGCCACACUGGGACUGAGACACGGCCCAGACUCCUACGGGAGGCAGCAGUGGGGAAUCUUGCGCAAUGGGCGAAAGCCUGACGCAGCCAUGCCGCGUGAAUGAUGAAGGUCUUAGGAUUGUAAAAUUCUUUCACCGGGGACGAUAAUGACGGUACCCGGAGAAGAAGCCCCGGCUAACUUCGUG